GAUGAACGCUGGCGGCGUGCCUAAUACAUGCAAGUCGAGCGAACAGACGAGGAGCUUGCUCCUCUGACGUUAGCGGCGGACGGGUGAGUAACACGUGUAUAACCUACCUAUAAGACUGGGAUAACUUCGGGAAACCGGAGCUAAUACCGGAUAAUAUAUUGAACCGCAUGGUUCAAUAGUUAAAGACGGUUUUGCUGUCACUUAUAGAUGGAUCCGCGCCGCAUUAGCUAGUUGGUAAGGUAACGGCUUACCAAGGCAACGAUGCGUAGCCGACCUGAGAGGGUGAUCGGCCACACUGGAACUGAGACACGGUCCAGACUCCUACGGGAGGCAGCAGUAGGGAAUAUUCCGCAAUGGGCGAAAGCUUGACGGAGCAACGCCGCGUGAGUGAUGAAGGUCUUCGGAUCGUAAAACUCUGUUAUUAGGGAAGAACAAAUGUGUAAGUAACUAUGCACGUCUUGACGGUAACUAAUCAGAAAGCCACGGCUAACUACGUG
rnacentral:rRNA from 1 species